GCAACAACACCUGUAACAGAAAGUAGAUAACAACCAAUAGAAGAGUUUAUUUAUUUUUCUAGGCUAUAAAAGCCAUUCUAAACAUUGCAAACAGGGUCUUUUUUUUUUUUUUUUUUUGCUCAUUAUAUAAGUACACUAGCAGAAAUUAUAGAGGAAAAAUGGGAAGUAAAUCAAAAAUCUAGUCUCAGGAUUGAAAGGUGAAUCAUCGAUGUUAGGAGGAAAAGCGUGAUAAUUAGAUUGUUGCACAAGGAUUGGUUGGCAACGAAAAUGAUCGAUUCACCUUAAUCAAUGAGAAGGGCGACCGAAGUUGGAGAGGAGAGGAAAGGAAGGAUGAAGAUAGUGGGCUGCCUUUUCCUCUCAUUAGGCUCCGGGCCGGCUUUAUAUAGGUUAAUUGUCCCUGUUUUACGGUGUCACGUAUUGAGUUGAUAUUCACGAGUCACGACAUCAUCUCUUAAGCAAGUUGCAGAAGAUUUCCAUUAAGAAUCUCAAGUGAGGAAUUGUAUAUGACAGCGAACUGUUCUCCUCUGUCAGCGAGGUGUAACAGGAGGGAAAUAAUUGGGUUUGUUGGACUCGGUACCUGCAAGAAUUGGUUGAAUCAACCUGUUGAUUAAAAUACUCAACCAGGACCUUUCGUCCAAUUUUUUUUAAUAUUUGUUUUUGGAUACUUUGAUGCAUUUAGUUAAACUAAGUUAAAUGGGGGAAUUGCAGUAGUUAGUUAUUGCUACUUACGGUCUGUAAAACGAUUUCAGGGAAAUUUAUUAGUAUCAUAUAUAUAAACCACUAUCAGGGUUCCUAGUGGAACUCCUAGUAGCUUAGUCAAACUACAAAGUUCCCAUAAUAUAACAGGAUGGAUCCAUCAGAGCAUUUAUCAGACUUAGUUUAUCAACAAAAACAAACUAUAUAUUAAACCCAUUGAUCUAAAUGGGUGGUUCAAACAGUUGCAAUAGGACCCAAGCUAACGAUGGAUUCCAUGGUCUUCAUGGCUUCGAACCUCGGCUCCUUGUCUUCGAACUUCAGGGCGGGGUAGACCUUCAUGUAGUCCUCGAACACGAAUUUCGGGUACGCAAUGGGUUUCUCAG